rnacentral:tRNA from 1 species
GGCCGGUUAGCUCAGUCAGUUGAGCGUGGUACUAAUAACGCUAAGGUCGCGGGUUCGAUUCCUGUUCGGUCC